UACAGAGGUCCCAAGCGUUGUUCGGAUUCACUGGGCGUAAAGGGUGCGUAGGUGGUGAGGUAAGUCGGAUGUGAAAUCUCCGAGCUCAACUCGGAAAUGGCAUUGGAAACUACCUUGCUCGAGGGUUGGAGGGGGGGACUGGAAUGCUUGGUGUAGCAGUGAAAUCGUAGAUAUCAAGCGGAACACCAGUGGCGAAGGCGAGUCCC
rnacentral:rRNA from 1 species